rnacentral:rRNA from 1 species
GAUGAACGCUGGCGGCGUGCCUAAUACAUGCAAGUCGAGCGAACGGACGAGAAGCUUGCUUCUCUGAUGUUAGCGGCGGACGGGUGAGUAACACGUGGAUAACCUACCUAUAAGACUGGGAUAACUUCGGGAAACCGGAGCUAAUACCGGAUAAUAUUUUGAACCGCAUGGUUCAAAAGUGAAAGACGGUCUUGCUGUCACUUAUAGAUGGAUCCGCGCUGCAUUAGCUAGUUGGUAAGGUAACGGCUUACCAAGGCAACGAUGCAUAGCCGACCUGAGAGGGUGAUCGGCCACACUGGAACUGAGACACGGUCCAGACGCCUACGGGAGGCAGCAGUAGGGAAUCUUCCGCAAUGGGCGAAAGCCUGACGGAGCAACGCCGCGUGAGUGAUGAAGGUCUUCGUAUCGUAAAACUCUGUUAUUAGGGAAGAACAUAUGUGUAAGUAACUGUGCACAUCUGGACGGUACCUAAUCAGAAAGCCACGGCUAACUACGU